GAGAGCGACCGGUGCUUGCACUGGUCAAUCUAGUGGCGAACGGGUGAGUAACACGUGGGUAACCUGCCCAUCAGAGGGGGAUAACAUUCGGAAACGGAUGCUAAAACCGCAUAGGUCUUCGAACCGCAUGGUUUGAAGAGGAAAAGAGGCGCAAGCUUCUGCUGAUGGACGGACCCGCGGUGCAUUAGCUAGUUGGUGAGGUAACGGCUCACCAAGGCCGUGAUGCAUAGCCGACCUGAGUCCAGGGUGAUCGGCCACAUUGGGACUGAGACACGGCCCAAACUCCUACGGGAGGCAGCAGUAGGGAAUCUUCCGCAAUGGACGCAAGUCUGACGGAGCAACGCCGCGUGAGUGAAGAAGGUUUUCGGAUCGUAAAACUCUGUUGUUAGAGAAGAACUAGUGCUAGAGUAACUGUUAGCGCCUUGACGGUAUCUAACCAGAAAGCCACGGCUAACUACGUGCCAGCAGCCGCGGUAAUACGUAGGUGGCAAGCGUUGUCCGGAUUUAUUGGGCGUAAAGCGAGCGCAGGCGGUUCCUUAAGUCUGAUGUGAAAGCCCCCGGCUCAACCGGGGAGGGUCAUUGGAAACUGGGGAACUUGAGUGCAGA
rnacentral:rRNA from 1 species